GACGAACGCUGGCGGCGUGCUUAACACAUGCAAGUCGAACGGAAAGGCCCUGCUUUUGUGGGGUGCUCGAGUGGCGAACGGGUGAGUAACACGUGAGUAACCUGCCCUUGACUUUGGGAUAACUUCAGGAAACUGGGGCUAAUACCGGAUAGGAGCUCCUGCUGCAUGGUGGGGGUUGGAAAGUUUCGGCGGUUGGGGAUGGACUCGCGGCUUAUCAGCUUGUUGGUGGGGUAGUGGCUUACCAAGGCUUUGACGGGUAGCCGGCCUGAGAGGGUGACCGGACUCAUUGGGACUGAGAUACGGCCCAGACUCCUACGGGAGGCAGCAGUGGGGAAUAUUGCACAAUGGGCGGAAGCCUGAUGCAGCAACGCCGCGUGCGGGAUGACGGCCUUCGGGUUGUAGACCGCUUUCGCCUGUGACGAAGCGUGAGUGACGGUAAUGGGUAAAGAAGCACCGGCUAACUACGUG
rnacentral:rRNA from 1 species